UAACCCCAUUCCAUUUCAAUUGUGAACAUCAUAGAACCUCUUUAUGAAGUUUGCUUCAUUGUGACAAGCUAGUCACUAGACAAGAAAAUGCCCUUGCUUCAACUAUACACCAAAUACUAUCUAUGUAGCAGAGGAUGGCCUUAUCAGGCAUCAAUGGGAGAAGAGGCCCUUGGUCUUGUGAAGGCUCAAUGCCCCAGUGAAAAAGAUGAUGCUCCAACAACAAAGAAAAUUUGAGGGGACUUUCCAGUUAUCCAACUAUCUCUAUCAUUCCUUUAAUUUGGAAGCUGGUUGCAUGUACUUCCUGCAUAUUCAGGCUUCAUCUAUGAGAACCAUGAACUGAUAAUAUUGUGGAGGAAGAUGGAAAAACUAAAAAAUGCAUGCAGAUAGGUGUUGGAGGACCACAAUGUCAGAGCAAGGAUCCUAUCCACAGUGGACACUGACUUCCUCUACUGCAUAGCCUGAUUCAAUGUAUCACAGAUGCUUUUAUCAAAAUAACGUUUCACACCAAUCCCACUGAAACUGAGACGUCUAAUUCCAACUUGUCAAGGAUGAGUUGAGUUGUGAAGCAACUGCCUGACAAGAGGCAGAUGACACCUUUGUACAACAAGAAAUGAUAUUUAUUGCAGCUUUUGGGAGUUAGAUGUAUACAAUUCUGGUUGUCUUGUGGAUGAUGGACACUUGAUACAAUUUGUCUACAAAAGUAUCUCAUAAAAAUGACUUUAAUAAAAUCAUGUUUCUCUAAAUUCUA